GAUGAAGAACGCAGCGAAAUGCGAUAAGUAAUGUGAAUUGCAGAAUCCAGUGAAUCAUCGAAUCUUUGAACGCACAUUGCGCCCGCCAGCAUUCUGGCGGGCAUGCCUGUUCGAGCGUCAUUUCAACCCUCGACCUCCCUUUGGGGAAGUCGGCGUUGGGGACCGACAGCACACCGCCGGCCCUGAAAUGGAGUGGCGGCCCGUCCGCGGCGACCUCUGCGUAGUAAUCCAACUCGCACCGGAACCCCGACGCGGCCACGCCGUAAAACACCCAACUUCUGAACGUUGACCUCGAAUCAGGUAGGACUACCCGCUGAACUUAAGCAUAUCAAUAAGCGGAGGA
rnacentral:misc_RNA from 1 species